UUGCCUGUGCCUCCCCUGCUGCUAUAAGAAGUCCCCCCCGGGCAACGGGGAGAGCCCAGCAGCGAUAGAUUCUUCCUCCUCGUCACUCCUCCAGAAGCCCACCUACCCUCCACCACCUCCUCCACCCUCCAGCAGCAAGGUCCGUCUCCGUCCAUCUCCUGUUCAUAUCCCCGUACCAUCCACAAACUGCUACAUCCAUCUCUUCUUUUUCCCCUCUUUAUUGCCCCCCCUCUUUGGAUUUGAUUCAGUUCGUAGCUGCCUUCCAACUUUUUUUUUUGAUGUAAAGCGUAUUAUCCUCUCGAAUCUACUUUUGAUUGCCUUUUGUGCAUGCUCUUCGUUGGCAGAGUUCUCUCUUCUCGAAAUUCAUUCUCGUCUUGCAUAUUAAGGGUGUUUUCUCUCGCUGUGUGUGGCGGCGACUAAUUUAAUUUGGCGAUCCUUUUCCCUUGCAGAUGGACGCCGCCGUGGAGCGCCUCAAGACCGGGUUCGAGAAGUUCAAGACCGAGGUCUACGAGUAAGUCCCCCACUAUAAUCCUGCCGCCAAGAGAACUCGAUCCUGUGUUUCAUUCGCCAUGUUUCCUUUUCGAUUUGGGAAUUGGGAAUUUCUUAGGUUCCUCGACUGAUCCUCUGUCCGUUUCCUCUUGGCAGCAAGAAGCCGGAUGUCUUCGAGCCGCUCAAGGCCGGCCAGGCCCCCAAGGUAUGCAACUGUACUAAUGUUGUCUCUACUAGCGACUCUGUUUUUCUUUCUCCUUCUGCGAUUAGUAGCUUGUAGACUUCGUCGCGAAGCUUAGCCAAAACCGUGUUGUACUGUAUAGAUUCAGGAGUGGUCUGCGAAACGACCCUUGGCCCACAGAAUUCUAUCUGUGUUAUUACUGGCACUUCUCCAGGUAGCGAACUGUCCGUGUUUUAGUACUAGCGCAGCGGAAAACCUGCCAUUCGGCCGGCGUACAAUCCGAGGUAUACCCACGGGGUGUCCGUAGCAGUUUCUGAUCACGGUCAAAGUAGACAAAAGGAAACCGCUGCCAGGCUGCCUGCCUGGCCGUCAAACGUGACAGCUUGUCGCCAUUGCCCGUCACUUGAUGUACUAGGUUAUGUCCUAAACUAACAUAGGCGCAGCGUAAUCUUGAGCAGAAACAAGUACACCUGUGGAUUUCCUUUGCGAUGGUUAACCCCCACCUGUCAUGCACCGCUAGGAAACAAACAGGGCCAUGCGUCAUUGUGCAUUGGCCAUUUCCAUGAUGUGAUUUGGCUUAUUGAGAGGUCACCCUCCGUAUCACUUUGUGGUCUUGUGGACGAUGAGCAUUAGAAUAUGGUUCUUUCUCCCUUUUCUGUUACAGCAGGACCGGCUAGGAUAACUUGACGUUAAGAAUCUUGCAAGUACAAGCGUUUUUCGUUUUUCUUUUGGGAUUCUCGAUUGGCGUGCAGUGCCCUGGUACUCGCCCGGUUGUUGAGGUUGCCCUAAAAAAUUGGACCAACAAACUUAGCCGUGUUGAAUUUCAAAAAGUCCCAGCCGGCCGUCUCUCCUGGCACUAUCACAUUUGGACACUUUUGUUAUAAAACAAAACAUUUGGACACGAGCAUCUUUUGAUGAUGACCAUUUCGGAAGUCUCAUCAUCUUGGCACCGGCCGCGUCAGGCCCCACACACAAGAACCGUGAACCGCAAGUCUUGCUCAACUCGUUUAUUGUACUGGCGGAGAAGAAAUAGUCCUCCACCUCAAUGGGUACAGCUGUAACUUAGCAUUCCAUGGCCAUGGCCCUGCGCACAGAAUUAAUCUCACGCAGGCCCUACGGUGGAGCUCUCAAUCUGAGGACCACUAGUGACAAAUGUGUCUACAACCUUUAAUCAAAGCUGGGCGCAUAUAGUAUGUUUGGGCAUUUGGCCAAAGCCUUUCUCAUGGCACUACUACCAUUAGCCUUUUGGAGAUUGGUGAUACUGUAGGACCAUGUUGGUGACUAUAGGAUUAUAUGCUGCUUAAUCUCAGGCCCAUUGGCUUAUGCAAGUACGUAAAGCUUGCCGUGCGAGAGACCGGUUAAAGCUGAAGGCUACGUCUACGUUACAACAGAGGCAUCUGUCAUCUCCUUUGGCUUAUCGUUUCUCUUUAACGAAUCAUGGCAUAUCCGCAAGUGAUGAUCCAUGUCUAUCAUCAUCAGUAUCGCCCAAACACAAGUCCUAUAUUGUCCGUCUUGUCAACCUCCCUGUUGGUGUCGUGAUUUGAAACAGCAACUUGCAGAUUGUGGGGCCUGUCGUCAUAACUACAAUAAGGUCUGUUAUUUGGUGUCCUGUCACAAAGUCAUAAUCUAGUGUUUUAUUUCGGCAAUUUGGUUUUGGAUCAUUGCUCUUAGCGGGGAGUGAGUGGAAUAUCUAUAUUCCGAUGCCAAGGAACCUUCCCGAGCACCACUUGCCUCCUGGCUUUGUGUUCUCCACCCAGUUCAUUGUUGUUAAUUUUGUUCUGCCCGAGCCCUUGUCUUUUUCCUCUGGAUAAAAAGCUGUCCGGGACAGAGAAGGUACAGGUCAAAAGUGGCAGCCUUUUAACGCAAAGCGGUGUCAGGAAUCGCCGUGUACUCCACCUAUCACACUAUCAGCACAUCUGCUUAUUUUUUUACUACACCCGGAUACCACGGGCCGAAAGUUUCGGCCAGCCUGAACAGCGUAUCUGCUUAUCAAUAACAAGUGUGAAAAGUUCUUUAUUAGGGAGAGCAGUGGAGUUUUAGAAACUUUUUUUUCUGAUUGGUUGGCUGGCUGUGUGCAGUACAUGGUGUUCGCCUGCGCCGACUCACGUGUGUGCCCGUCGGUGACCCUGGGCCUGGAGCCCGGUGAGGCCUUCACCGUCCGCAACAUCGCCAACAUGGUCCCGUCCUACUGCAAGGUAUGCCACCCGCAUAUAUAUAGCUUUACCGUUUUGGCCGGUCGCCUAGGUGCAUUAUUGACGUAUUUUGUUUCGGCUUUUGUCGACUGCAGAACAAGUACGCCGGUGUUGGGUCGGCCAUCGAGUACGCCGUGUGUGCCCUCAAGGUCAACCCUCUCUCCAGUGCUGUCACUUCAGAUAUGCUAGUACAUUAGUACUACUACUGUGAUAAUAAUGCAUUAUUGCACCAGUGAACAUAUCAUAUUGGACCCAGAUCUGGUGCCAAAUGGAGUUAGAAAAAUAAUGUACGUCCUAACUGUUGUAGCAUGCAUUGACUUUGGCAGGUUGAGGUCAUCGUGGUGAUUGGCCACAGCCGCUGCGGUGGAAUCAAGGCACUCCUCUCGCUCAAGGAUGGUGCAGAUGACAGCUUGUAAGUAUAGUAAAACACCUCAAAUCCCCACAGGGCGGUGAAUUACAGUAGUACAAAGCUUCUGUUGCUCUGUUAAUUCUGACUCGAGCUCUCCGGCCGUCUGUUUGAUCGUUCAGCCACUUCGUCGAGGACUGGGUCAGGAUCGGGUUCCCGGCCAAGAAGAAGGUGCAGACCGAGUGCGCCUCCAUGCCUUUCGAUGACCAAUGCGCCGUCUUGGAAAAGGUUCGUACGACCACAUGAUACUUUGUGAUGACUUGGCCACUGCUGGAAUACUCGAACUAUAUAUUCUGCUGACUUGCUGUGCUGACGAAGAAAAUAUUCUGGGAUUUCUACAGGAGGCCGUGAACGUGUCCCUCGAGAACCUCAAGACCUACCCGUUCGUCAAGGAAGGCGUCGCCAACGGAACCCUCAAGCUCGUGGGCGGCCACUACGACUUCGUCUCCGGCAAGUUCGACACAUGGGAGCU
rnacentral:lncRNA from 1 species